GAUGAACGCUGGCGGCGUGCCUAAUACAUGCAAGUCGAGCGAACAGACGAGGAGCUUGCUCCUCUGACGUUAGCGGCGGACGGGUGAGUAACACGUGGAUAACCUACCUAUAAGACUGGGGUAACUACGGGAAACCGGAUCUAAUACCGGAUAUUAUAUUGAAACGCAUGGUUCAAUAGUGAUCAACGGUUUUGCUGUCCCUUAUAGAUGGAUGCGCGCCGCAUUAGAUAGUUGGUAAGGUAACGGCUUACCAAGGCAGCGAUGCGUAGCGGACCUGAGCGGGGGAACGGCCACAGUGGAACAGAGACACGGGCCACACUCCGACGGGGGCCAGGAGUAGGGAAUCGGCCGAAAGGGGCGAAAGCCUGACGGAGCAACGCCGCGUGAGUGAAGAAGGUCGUGGGAGCGAAGAACUCUAUGAUUGGGGAAAGACAAGUGUGUUAGUAACUAUACAUGUUGUGGCGAUCCCUAGACAGAGCGCCGGCUCUCUCCGUG
rnacentral:rRNA from 1 species